rnacentral:lncRNA from 1 species
UUGGCCCUUCGUUAGGGCUGCAUCCAGUCCUAGUGAGGAGAUCAAGCUUCCAUGGAGUUGUGGGCGACAGCAGCAGUGGCACAGCAGCGGGACUUCAUAAUGAUUGGCUUUCCCUCCUUCCUCUCGUCAGCUUUCUCUCAGCACAUCGUCAUCUCUUCUUUUGGGAAAUCAUUCCCAAAGUACUCAAGAAACUCUUCUUCCUUUUUUUUUAUUUCUCGUGGGACUUGAUAAAAA